GCAGCCCCCUUCCACAGGCUGAACACCUUAGGGACCAACAACCAGAUGGUGUCGUUUGCAGUGAAGAUCGAACUCAGAGUUGUAGCCGAAUUGGAGAGGAGAGAGUGACAUGUGCGCCCCCUUCCUGCCGUCGGUAGAUGAACCGUGGGAAGCUCGAGCAGGUACAUGGGAACCCAUGCAAUGUUCUGUGGGAACUUUGGACGUGGCAGGUCCUUAGGAAGAGCUCGUUACCAAGGUGAGAGGAGCAAACUGUUCUUUCUCUUGCAGGAACCCACUGGAGUGAAAGACACAGGCGUUAAGCACGAGAGGAGGAUCUGGGUGAACCUGGUGAUGUGCAGCCAGCCACCUGCCUUCUCGUGGCCUGAAGGGGAUGGAAGCCAAUGUUUCUAAGUCUCUUACCCUGCGGAGCUCAGAAAGGCGAAGGUCACCCAGACAGCAGGUGACCAAGCUGCGAUUCGAGCCCUGGUCCUUCACGCUUCAGAGCCAAAGCUUGUCCAUGGUGAAGAGCACAUCACCUCGCCAAUGACUCCUCCAAAUAAAGCUCGUGUAAUAUGUGUCAUUCUUCGAAGACCUUUAAAAAAGAACCAAAACAGUAACUGGUUUGACUUUUUCAGCAGAGCAAAGGAAAAGGGCAUCAGCACGUGGAGGCGAGUCUAGUGGGUGAACCUGCUCCCCAGAGGUGGGAUAGAGGAGGCGGGGUCGGGGGUGGGGAUUCGUUUCUCUCCAACUGCCCCAGGGGCUCUUGCCCAUCUCCAGAGUGGCUCUGGGGCAGUAUCCUGCCACGGUACUUGUUUCCCCUCAGAGCCUUCCAAAGAGGGGCCAGGCGGGCGGGGAAGCUGCUGCUAACUUCUAUUUUCUAUUUUAGGCAAGUUGCAAGCAGCCCUGUGUUUGCCUGCAGGUCCCACACGGUCCUCCGCCCCUUCUCAUUGUUCGAGCUGCCUCCUGAGGGGGUUACCAAUAAUUUUCACUCAUAAGAUCAGCCUCGGGUUUCUUCAUCUGGAAAGAAAUUAAUUUUCCAAGUCACACAAUUACAGACAACUUUUAAAAGAGUCACUGUGACAGUUUCAUGGUUACCUUAGAUUAGAUGGUGCCAGUUUAUUCUUUUUUAAAAAAAAGAAAAUUUGCGUGAACAAAAUUAAAUCCAAGAAACAUGGCUUUUUUCUAGCUCUUUUUGUGAAAUAGUUUAAAAAAAAAAGAAUAAAGAAAAUAAGCUGCUUCUACCAGUUUUGGGGGCUUUCCAGGUUUCCAGACAUUUACUUAGCUUGAUACAUAGUAUAUUUCUGUGGGAAAAUUUUUGUACACCACGAAUAUCUUGUAGGUCAUUACUUUCUGGCUUGUUGUGUUGGUUACAGUCAGCUCCACGGUAUGAACAAGUUGAUCAGCUCCGGGAAGGCCUCCCAUUUCCUAGCGGAAAACC
rnacentral:lncRNA from 1 species